GACGAACGCUGGCGGCGUGCUUAACACAUGCAAGUCGAACGGAAAGGCCCUGCUUUUGUGGGGUGUUCGAGUGGCGAACGGGUGAGUAACACGUGAGUAACCUGCCCUUGACUUUGGGAUAACUUCAGGAAACUGGGGCUAAUACCGGCUAGGAGCUCCUGCUGCAUGGUGGGGGUUGGAAAGUUUCGGCGGUUGGGGAUGGACUCGCGGCUUAUCAGCUUGUUGGUGGGGUAGUGGCUUACCAAGGCUUUGACGGGUAGCCGGCCUGGGAGGGUGACCGGCGACAUGGGGACUGAGAUACGGCGCAGACUCCUACGGGAGGCAGCAGUGGGGAGUAUUGCACAAUGGGCGGAAGCCUGAUGAAGCAGCGCCGCGUGCGGGAUGACGGCCUUCGGGUUGUAAACCGCUUUCGCCUGUGACGAAGCGUGAGUGACGGUAAUGGGUAAAGAAGCACCGGCUAACUACGUG
rnacentral:rRNA from 1 species